rnacentral:rRNA from 1 species
UACAGAGGGGGCAAGCGUUGUUCGGAAUUACUGGGCGUAAAGGGCGCGUAGGCGGCCUUCUAAGUCGAACGUGAAAUCCCCGGGCUCAACCCGGGAACUGCGUCCGAUACUGGAAGGCUUGAAUCCGGGAGAGGGAUGCGGAAUUCCAGGUGUAGCGGUGAAAUGCGUAGAUAUCUGGAGGAACACCGGUGGCGAAGGCGGCAUCCUGGACCGGCAUUGACGCUGAGGAGCGGAAAGCGUGGGGAGCGAACGAGGA